rnacentral:rRNA from 2 species
CAUUACCGAGUUAUACAACUCAUCAACCCUGUGAACAUACCUAAAACGUUGCUUCGGCGGGAACAGACGGCCCUGUAACAACGGGCCGCCCCCGCCAGAGGACCCCUAACUCUGUUUUUAUAAUGUUUUUCUGAGUAAACAAGCAAAUAAAUUAAAACUUUCAACAACGGAUCUCUUGGCUCUGGCAUCGAUGAAGAACGCAGCGAAAUGCGAUAAGUAAUGUGAAUUGCAGAAUUCAGUGAAUCAUCGAAUCUUUGAACGCACAUUGCGCCCGCCAGUAUUCUGGCGGGCAUGCCUGUUCGAGCGUCAUUACAACCCUCAGGCCCCCGGGCCUGGCGUUGGGGAUCGGCGGAAGCCCCCUGUGGGCACACGCCGUCCCUCAAAUACAGUGGCGGUCCCGCCGCAGCUUCCAUUGCGUAGUAGCUAACACCUCGCAACUGGAGAGCGGCGCGGCCAUGCCGUAAAACACCCAACUUCUGAAUGUUGACCUCGAAUCAGGUAGGAAUACCCGC